rnacentral:rRNA from 1 species
UACAGAGGGGGCUAGCGUUGUUCGGAAUUACUGGGCGUAAAGGGCGCGUAGGUGGCCUGUUAAGUCGAACGUGAAAUCCCCGGGCUCAACCCGGGAACUGCGUCCGAGACUGGCAGGCUCGAAUCCGGGAGAGGGAUGUGGAAUUCCAGGUGUAGCGGUGAAAUGCGUAGAUAUCGUAAGGAAGACCAGUGGCGAAGGCGAGUCUCUGGACAGUUACUGACGCUGAGGCACGAAGGCCAGGGGAGCAAACGGG